rnacentral:rRNA from 1 species
ACCUACGGGAGGCAGCAGUAGGGAAUUUUCGUCAAUGGGCGCAAGCCUGAACGAGCAAUGCCGCGUGAACGAGGAAGGUCUUCGGAUCGUAAAGUUCUGUUGAAGGGGAAAAAGAGCGGAGAGAGGAAAUGCUUUCUGAUUGAUAUUACCCUUCGAGGAAGUCACGGCUAACUACGUGCCAGCAGCCGCGGUAAUACGUAGGUGGCGAGCGUUAUCCGGAUUUAUUGGGUUUAAAGGGUGCGCAGGCGGAGGUGCAAGUCAGCGGUCAAAUUGCGGGGCUCAACCCCGUACUGCCGUUGAAACGG